rnacentral:rRNA from 1 species
GAUCCUGGCUCAGGAUGAACGCUGGCGGCGUGCUUAACACAUGCAAGUCGAACGGAACUACUUUGAUGAGAUUCUUCGGAAAGGAUUUGAUUUAGUUUAGUGGCGGACGGGUGAGUAACGCGUGGGUAACCUGCCUCAUACAGGGGGAUAACAGUUGGAAACGGCUGUUAAUAUUGCAUAAGCGCACAGUACCGCAUGGUAUGGUGUGAAAAACUCCGGUGGUAUGAGAUGGACCCGCGUCUGAUUAG